rnacentral:tRNA from 1 species
GAGGAUGUAGCUCAGUGGUAAAGCACUUGCCUAGCAUGCAUGAGGCCCUGGGUUUGAUCCCAGCACUUUG